AUGGCGGAGGUGGCCGCGGUGCUGCUGCCGGGGGAGGCCGAGGCCUUGGUGCAGGCGCUGCGGAGCGGCCCGCUGCGGAACACCGGGGACCGCGGAUGGCUCCGGCAGCAUGAGGCCAUCGAGAAGCUGAACAUGCAGGCCAUUCUGAGCGCCUCUUCCGGGCAGGAACAGCUCCUCAUUGAGCUGCUGGUGAACUAUGCCAAGAUCCCUACUCUGAUCGAGGAAUUGAUCUCUGUGGAGAUCUGGAAGCACAAGGUGUUCCCUGUGCUGUGCCAGCUGGAGGAUUUCAAGCCAAAAAGCACCUUUCCCAUCUACUUGGUGCUGUACCAUGAAGCUUCUAUUGUCAACCUCCUGGAGACAGUGUUUUUUCACAAGGAGAUCUGCGAAUCAGCUGAGGACACCAUUCUGGACUUGAUUGAUUAUAGCUACCGGAAACUGACCCUGCUAGCAGCUUGGAGCACCAACAGGGAGUUUCCAACCCACGAAAAGCUUGUGCCUGAGGAUCUGACCAAUGCAUCAUCAAUGCAGGAACUACAGAAGCAGGCAGAGAUGAUGGAGUUUAAGAUCUCCCUGAGGGCUCUUUCUGUGCUCCGUUUCAUCACUGAUCAGGUAGACAGUUUGCCACUGAGUGCCCUGACACGGAUGCUGAACACUCAUAAUGUGCCCUGCCUCCUGAUAGAGCUCCUGGAGCAUUGUCCAUGGAGCUGCUGCGAAGCAGGCAAGCUAAAAAAGUUUGAGAAUGGAAUGUGGCAUGUGGUGCCUCCUGAAGACCAUGUGAAGAUGACCAAGCUGGAUGGGCAGGUGUGGAUUGCCCUUUAUAACCUCCUCCUGAGCCCAGAAUGCCAGCGGAAAUACAACUUGGACGGUUUCAACAAGAGCCAGCUCCUAAAGCUCCGUGCAUUCCUGACUGAUGUCCUCAUUGACCAGUUGCCAAAUCUGGUGGAGAUGCAGAGAUUUCUGAGCCACCUCGCAGUGACAGAGCCUGUUCCACCCAAAAAGGACCUCAUCCUGGAGCAGGUUCCUGUCAUCAGGGACCGCAUUAUCAGAGAGAAUUCUGGGAAGUGGCAGGCGAUCGCCAAGCACCAGGUGAAGCACAUGUUCAGCCCCUCAGAGGACGAGUUGAAAGACCUGGCGUGCCGGUGGGCACAGACAUACAACCUGGAUGUGAUGGAGGCUCUCGUCCCAGAGAAACCCAAGUGCGGGCUGUGCGGCUCUGAGGCAACAAAGCGCUGCUCUCGCUGCCAGAACGAGUGGUACUGCAAACGGGAGUGCCAGGUGCAGCACUGGCAGAAGCACAAGAAAGCUUGCAACCUAAUGGCUGAUGCCCUGAAGAAAAUAAAAGAGGACCUGAAAGUGCAGCCGUAAUGCAGAGCCAGAGCCUUCCAAAGAGGGACUUCUCCUCCCAGGCAUUCCAGCAAUCCGAGAGCAAAGGGUCGCCAGUUAGAACUAGAGACGGACAACCCCUUGUUCAUCUAACCUGGGCCCAGUGCACCACUUCUGCCUGCCUCCUGUGUAACUGUGCAUGCUGUGGUAGUGCAUGGGCUGCUCCAGAUCCCAGCCUUGCAGUCACAGACAGUCGGCCUAGAUCCGCUACCAUGGGAUCAUGCUCAGCUCAGCGGGAGGCAGCAGCCACUGGCCAGCACAACUGCUGAGAUUGGGAGCCUUGGUUCUCUCAGACCCCAUUCUGUCUCCUAGUUUCUGAACUCUUCCUUGCUUGAGAACAGGCUGCUGCUGACCUCAGGGACUCAUUUAUGCUAAGUAGCUUUCUCCGUGCUGCCACCUAUGACUCAGAAGCAGCUUGUGUUACUGGGCAUCCUACCUGAAGCAGGCACCAUCUGCUGUCAUGCAGCAUGGCAGUGAGCGCAGAUCUCGCCGCUCUGCGGCAGAGCACAAUGGCAGCUGACAAGUUUGAAACUAACCACUGAUUGCUGCUCUCACUACCUGCUGCUGGGAAUGUACCAUGGGCCUUAAGAAAAAAACAUUUUCUGCUCCCAGGGCACAGGCCAGCAAUAGCCGCACUGGGCUUAGACCCUCUUCUGCUGUGACUCCCACCUUCCCCCCCCCUUACAAUUUGUUCUCCAGUAAAUGGGUUGAACCACUAACCAUCUUGUUCUCACUCAUCUCCAUUCUGAAACAGUCUGCAGCAGCCACCCUAGAGAUGACAAAGCCACUUCCUCACUUAUUUCCUGCAUUGUCCUACUGGGGAGGAUUUUAUAAACCCCAUCUCUGCUGGUAAUGAGUUUACAAGGUCUCUGCUGAUGCUCAGAUGCCAGUCAGGGCCAUACAGGCAGGGAUGGAAUUGCCCAGAAGGUGACAUCUUCUGUGCCUUCCUUAUCUGGGUGCUCAGUUCUAUAACAUCCUUGCACGGGCCUUGCCGUGUAGGCUGGGGGAGGGGCAGGGAAAAGGAUGUGGUUAGGACAAGUGCUUUAAUUUUCAGAGGCUCAUUGUUUCACGGUUGAGAGCAUAAUGCGGUGUCUUGGUGGCUACCGAGGGACUUGCCUCUUGCUCUGGGGUUUUCUCUUUUCUCUGCAGUGUAGUGAGAAAUGAAAUUAACAAUCAGCCCCAUCCAGAAAGCAGUGCAAGUCAUGCUCCUUGUGUAAGCCCUGGUCAUCCAAAGUCGUGUUCUGGUCAGAAUGCCAAGGAUCAGUCCCCAUGCAGCUCGUCUCCAGUCACGUUUGACAUUGAUCUCUUCCCCACCCCCCCCAUGUUGAACAUCCUGCAGCUAAGUUCAUCAGUAACUUCCCCAGUUGUUUGGGACAUGCUAUGAGGUGUGCUGGCUCCCCCAGUGUUUGCCUCCAAUGAGCCUGAAUCCUGCCAGCUCAAUCCUGUUAAUGACCAUGUAUGUGAAUGCAGCAUAGUUAUAGCUGUGUUGGUUCCAGGGUAUGAGAGAGACAAGGUGGAUGAGGUAGUAUCUUUUAUUGAACCCACUUCUGUUGGUGAGACGGACAAACUUUUGAGUUACACAGUGCUCUUCUUCAGGCCUGGGAAAGGUACUCACAGCAAAAUGCAAAGUGGAACAGAUUUUUAGUGUCUAGCAGAACUUAAAUUCAAUACUCUGCUAGACACUAAAAAUCAUGGACUGAACGGAGACUGGAUGUAUGGUUUGUUUCAACAAUCUGUAACCCACUAACCCCCUCUUUUAAUCCUAUGGCUGCUGUUAACAGACCACUUCACCUUGAAUGGUCCCUUACAGUAUGUGCUAACUAUUUACGCUAAACAAUCUUGUGCUCAUACACCUUGUCUCUCUAAUGACCAGAUGGACAGUUACAAUAAAUAGUCCUGCAAGCGCUGUCCCAUAGCAUCGUGUAUCCGCAAAAGUGGCCUCUCUGGCUGUCUCUCUAACUUUUGCUGACUCCCAGGUCAUCUGCCCAGAAGCCACGGGCUUGUAUAAAUAUGCCUCCAGAAAAGGGGAGAGGGCUGCUUGUGCUAGAUUAGUUUGAUGUUAGAGAUGGGUCUGAGCUAGUCCAAUCAGGAGCGAGCCUUAUCCAAACACUCAAAAUGUUAGAUGCUGCUGUUUGCCUCCACCCAUGAUAAGUAAAGCAGUGAAGUUUGGAUCCAGCUCUGAACUCUUCUGAAGGCUAUCCUGUUCUCACCUGAACUUUCAACUCAGUCUCCUCUCGAUCUGAUGCAUUAGAAAAAGAGGCUAACCAAUCCCCAGGGUUCAAAAACUGUGAGUUAGGCCCCCAAAAUCAUGAGAUUGUCUUAAAAAACAAGAUUUUAAAAAAUAACCAGUGCUGGUCUUCAGUUUUUUCACCCUUUAGUGACCAUAUUAUCAAGGUUUUCUCCACAACCACAAAGGCUAGAAGCAUACUUCUCUUUUAAGUGUGAGCUGAGAUGCUCCAUUAAUCAUGUGACUCCAGGAGCUGGGGCUUUAAGAAAAUCACCAAGUGUCUUGAGACUCACGAUAAAAUCUCAAGUGUCAGCAAUCAUGGAACAAGUGAAGUGAAUGGAAAAUACCACAAGUAUGUGCAAAAACUAGGUAAUGGAAGUGGGGCUGGAAAGUCAAACUCCUGGAAAUGUUCUUUGGGGGCGUUUGAGGCCCAUGUCACCUGUGUCUGGAUGCGGCUCUGGGGCAGAUGCUAGUUUAGACAGAGAUGUUUGUUGAUCUGAAGAGCCGGGCAGAAGGAUCCAGCCUGCAACUUCAGAGAGCAGUUUUGCCUUUGUGGAUGUUAGAUUCAGCAUUUUCUUUAAUCUUUCCUUGUAGAUAAGCAUGAAUGUAAACAUGAGCAUGCUGCGCCAGGCCCGCCUGGAGGGACAGGACUAUCUUAUCACAGGCUCUCCCAGUUUCCCAAACUUCAGAUUUUCCUCUUCCUUCAACCCUCUCUCAGCCCCCUUCUGGCAUCUCAACUGGCCCUGGGUUUUCCCCAGUCCUAUCCUGGAGGAAGGAUCAGCAGAACUACAUUGAAAAUGGUCACCAAGGAAGGAAAGAAGGGGCAGCUGAGCUACAGGCCACAGGAGAAGGAUGUUCCUGCAGUAUCAUCUCGAUCCUUUUGAGUGGGGUGGACUGGGCUGCCUUGGCCAGCACUGGAAUGGAAAGCUGUGUGCUGCCAUGUGACAGUCCAGCGUUUUGGAUUAAUGCACACAGCUGGUACUGCUGGACAUUGCAUGGUAACUUCUGUCAGUAUCGCCAUGGCCUCUGCUAAAAAGCUGCCUCCUCACUCAUGACUUAGAGAUCCACAGUUGGGACCUGGCCCUGCCUCCCCUACAGGAACUGGAUGCUACUGAGGCACACCUCUCCCCUGAGCCCAGCUGUGGAAGAACAGCACAGAACCCACUAUGCCCAGUUAGAGCACUGGCCUUUUCUGCCAUAGGUCUGGUGUUUUGAAGUCAGCUUGGCUGGGAAUGGUGGAUGUUCAGCACCUCUCAGGAUCAGGCCCCAGCUGCCAUUCAUGCUUUGCAUCACCCUCCUAGCUGUGAGCGGAACUCAGGGGGGCUGGUUUGCCCCAUAGAAAACAGAUAGCGCCUUGGCUGGCCUUGCUGCACCCUCUGUAGGAGGAUGAGAAAGCAGCUGAUGAAUAGCACUUGUAGGUGAGGGAGCUGGUUUCAUGUGAUGUAUUUAAAUGGCUGCCUUGGGCUAGAAGGAUAAAUGAUUGGGGCUAUCAGUCCUCAUGCUUCAGGACACAAGCUGAUCUGAGCGGAGGGGUAAGGCAGGAACUGCUUCCCCCUUUUCCAGUGCUAUGGAAUUACAGGAUCAGGCCCUAUUUACACAGAGCAUAAAACUCUAUUGAGAGAACCAGGGAUCAACAUAGCUAAAAUACGGGCUUUGCUGGUGUGAUUUGCCUGUGGGAUGUGAGCUGGCCAGAACAGCCUGAAACCCAUGUCAUAGGUAGGGAGCAAGUCUAGGGGACACUCAAGCCAAUUCUGAUCCUAUUUACACAAGUAUAAAUCUAGAGUCAGCCUACUGUAAUAGUGGAGUGACUCCAGAUUUACACUGGACAAAGAAUACCACUGAUUCCCAGGGACUGACUGUAUUUACACUAGUGCUAGAAUCUGGAGUAAUGUGUUUAAAUGUUUAGUGUUGCAGCUAACACUCUUUUAUCCCCUUUGUCAGCCCUGCAUGGGGGUUUUUGAUACCUCAGGUUAGUACUGUAGAGCUUGAAGUCUGGUCACAGGGAAAUAAUCUUUCCAAGGCCUGGAUGUACCAGGCCAAGAACACAUGGAGAGAGAGGGAAAUUGCCUUUUAUUCUUGUUCUUCCCGAACUGGAGCUGACUUUUAAACUCCUCCUAAACAUUAACCUUUCCCUGGGACUCUUUCCCCAGAAAUGGCUCUUCCUGGGAGCGAUUUUAGACUCUCGCUGGGAUAUUUUUUGAACUCUUAAUUUCUAUUUUAGUGCCAGCAAGAACCCACAACUAGUGCCCCUGGGACGCUUUCCUCUGGUUUGCCUGAG